AUCCAAAGUGUUUAUUUCAGAGUUCAGGGCAGCUCCCCAUGUUCUGUUAAUUAAAGUUUGGGACAUUGAAACAGGUUAGGGAAGAUGUUGGAUAGAAAGUAUUACUCUAUUCAUUUACUUCCCAGCCUGCCAAA
ensembl:snoRNA